GUUGUCUUAUUAGUAACGUGUUUGUAACAAAUUAAUUUCUAGCAAAUUAAGAAACAGUGUACACAAAUUUUGCAGUAACCUAUUUCGGAGACGUAAAUCAUUCAGAUUGCUCUAGGGUGAAACAUUGUUUUAUUUAACAAUGCAUACAGGCGUCUUCUGUAUAAAAACCACUUUUAAAUUUUCGACAUGUUGUCGUAGUGGCUUGAUAUAACGUGGAAUUAUAUGUGCAUUGCUGUUCCCAGUGAGAGGUUACAACAGUUAGUGAAAGUUAACCCACUCGUCAACUGAAAUAUGGCAUCUUCACUAAAUCUUUAAAUCCGAGUGUCCGCAAGAAGAACCUCUCCGCUUGGUACCUCUCAAAAUGAACAGCGCCUUUGUCCUUAACCACUUCUCCAGCCCUCAGGUUAAUAUGUACCAAGUUUGGUAUUCGAGUACUAUGAUGUAGCCUGAGAGAGAAUUUCAUAUCCACAUACUAAACAGAGAGAUGCAUUGAGACCCUAGAUCCUUUGUCAAGAGUGCGUAAGAAAGACAAUCUUGUGACUGAGCAUUAUUGAUUUAGGUACUGUAAUAAACUUUUUAAUAAAAUUACCAGUUAGAUAGAUUAAA